UCGAAGCUGGAUUCGCUAGUAAUCGCGCAUCAGCCAUGGCGCGGUGAAUACGUUCCCGGGCCUUGUACACACCGCCCGUCAAGCCAUGGAAGCCGGGGGUGCCUGAAGUGUGCAGCCGCAAGGAGCGCCCUAAGGUAAAACCGGUGACUGGGGCUAAGUCGUAACAAGGUAAC
rnacentral:rRNA from 1 species